rnacentral:rRNA from 1 species
CAGCGCCACAAGUGGUGAUCGGCAUUAUUGGGCCUAAAGCGUCCGUAGCAGGGAAAAUAAAUCUUCUGUGAAACUGUUCAGCUUAACUGAACAACAUGCAGGAGACACUAUUUUUCUAGAGACCGGGAGGAGUCAGAGGUAUUUUUGGGGGAGCGGUAAAAUGCUAUAAUCCCAAGAAGACCACCGAUGGCGAAGGCAUCUGACUAGAACGGAUCUGACUGUGAGGGACGAAGGCCAGGGGAGCGAACCGGAUUAGAUACCCGAGUAGUCC